rnacentral:rRNA from 1 species
AGAGUUGAUCAUGGCUCAGAACGAACGCUGGCGGCGCGUCUUAAGCAUGCAAGUCGAGCGGGAUUGUCCAGCUUGCUGGACAUGAGAGCGGCGGACUGGCGAGGAGCGCGUGGGCGACGCGCCCCCCGGACGGGAACAGCCCGUGGAAACACGGGGUAAUGCCGGAUGGCAUGCAGGGCUUGGAGGCCCUGCAUCAAAGGGGCUUCGGCCCCGCCGGGGGAGCGGCCCGCGUCCCAUCAGCUUGUUGGCGGUGCAAGGGACCACCAAGGCUACGACGGGUGUCCGGCCUGAGAGGGCGAUCGGACGCAUUGGGACUGAGAUACGGCCCAGACUCCUACGGGAGGCAGCAGCUAAGAAUAUUCCGCAAUGGGCGAAAGCCUGACGGAGCGACGCCCGCGUGCACGAUGGAGGCCGGAAGGUUGUAAAGUGCUUUUGGGAGGGAGGAAGAAGCCCGGGAGGAAACGCCCGGGCGGCGACGGUACCUCGCGAAUAAGGGGCGGCUAAUUACGUGCCAGCCGCUGC